CGGGGGGGGGCAAGCGUUGUUCGGAAUUACUGGGCGUAAAGGGCUCGUAGGCGGCCAACUAAGUCCGACGUGAAAUCCCCAGGCUUAACCUGGGAACUGCGUCAGAUACUGAAUGGCUUGAAUUCGGGAGAGGGAUGCAGAAUUCCAGGUGUAGCGGUGAAAUGCGUAGAUAUCUGGAGGAAUACCGGUGGCGAAGGCGGCAUCCUGGACCGAGAUUGACGCUGAGUGAGCGAAAGCUAGGGGAGCAAACGGGAUUAGAUACCCCGGUAGUCCUAGCCCUAAACGAUGAAUGCUUGGUGUGGCGGGUAUCGAUCCCUGCCGUGCCGAAGCUAACGCAUUAAGCAUUCCGCCUGGGGAGUACGGUCGCAAGGCUG
rnacentral:rRNA from 1 species